UACGUAGGGGGCAAGCGUUAUCCGGAUUUACUGGGUGUAAAGGGAUCGUAGACGGCUUUGCAAGCCAGAUGUGAAAGCCCGGGGCUCAACCCCGGGACUGCAUUUGGAACUGUAUGGCUGGAGUGUCGGAGAGGCAGGCGGAAUUCCUAGUGUAGCGGUGAAAUGCGUAGAUAUUAGGAGGAACACCAGUGGCGAAGGCGGCCUGCUGGACGAUGACUGACGUUGAGGCUCGAAAGCGUGGGGAGCAAACAGG
rnacentral:rRNA from 1 species